rnacentral:ncRNA from 2 species
UUGUCCGAGGAGCGCUGCAAAACUGUCGCUUGACAGUUUCAGGCUCGGAACCUUAAACGGCGCUCAUCCAAC